AUUGAACGCUGGAGGCGUGCUUAACACAUGCAAGUCGUGCGAGAAAGGGGCUUCGGUCCUGAGUAGAGCGGCGCACGGGUGAGUAACGCGUGGGUGAUCUCCCUUGGUGAUCGGGAUAACAGCGGGAAACUGCUGCUAAUACCGGAUAAUCUUCAUGUUUGACUUCAUGGGGUAAAGGUGGCCUCUGCUUGCAAGCUACCACAUCAAGAUGAGCCCGCGUCUCAUUAGCUAGUUGGUAGGGUAAUGGCCUACCAAGGCUACGAUGAGUAGCUGGUCUGAGAGGAUGACCAGCCACACUGGGACUGGAACACGGCCCAGACUCCUACGGGAGGCAGCAGUGGGGAAUAUUGCGCAAUGGGCGAAAGCCUGACGCAGCGACGCCUCGUGAGGGAUGAAGGUCUUCGGAUCGUAAACCUCUGUCAAGAGGGAAGAAACCCUUGGAUUCGAAUAGGGUCCUUGGCUGACGGUACCUCAAAAGGAAGCACCGGCUAACUCCGUGCCAGCAGCCGCGGUAAUACGGAGGGUGCAAGCGUUAAUCGGAAUCACUGGGCGUAAAGCGCUCGUAGCGGUUUGGUCAGUCAGAUGUGAAAGCCCUC
rnacentral:rRNA from 1 species